UACAUACCAUACACAGUAUAGAUUCGUUUUUCAGUUUGGGAAUGGCACUUACUGAACACCCAUUUCCGUUUGAUGAAUGAAUUGACAGAUUUCUGCACAGAUCUGAUCGUUUUCUUCAUAUGGAGACUGUUCUUGCAAUAAGUAACCUAUUCUUGGGUCUUUUCGUCAUCUUAGGCUUCACGGCUUCAAGCGGUGCUUCUGUAGAGAUCUGGGGAGCAAUCUUCCUGGUCGUAUUUGCUCUUUUUCUCAUCAGUAAAAAGCUGAAAACCAAGAGAAUCAUCAUUGGAAUGGCAGUGAAGGCUUCGUUGAUUGGUAUCACGCUACUGAUUUCUUACUCAAAGAGCCUUAGAAGCAAUCAAGGAUUACUCCACAAUUGCAAGUUGAUUCCCACGAUAGUCUAUGGAUUGAAAUUAUGUACGAUUUUGAAUCCUUAAUAUUUUUUCGGAUAACACAAAUGUGGACUUGGGCUCUUAAACAAAAAACACCUUGAUUUUACAUUUUGAUUUUAAUUGCAGCUUAGGUCAACCUGAACCAAAUAGAAUGAAAUAAAACAUUUGUUAUUUAACAUGCAAUUGGUUGGCAUUGUUCGUAAUCCGGUGCUUGAUCUUUAUUACUGAACUUUUAAUUUUCUUGCCAUAUUUGAUGCUAUUGGUUGCAUCUCAGCUUAUAAACGUUUGGUACCCACACUACCCACACAGAUUGCAGCACUAGCAGUUAGUGAUGCAACCUUCAUCCCGGAUUUGGUUUGUACGGGUAUCUGGGGUGGAGCCUUUCUCGUCCUGUUUGCUUCUUGCUGCAAAAACGAAUGAAAACCUGUUAAUUUACUGAUACCGUUGAUAACCGCAAUAGCGCAAAUUUCCCAUAAAUUUUGUACACGUAGGCUGAAUACUGGUACCAUCAAAGCUCUGGCAGUCUAUUCCAUGUUGAUUGGAUUCACAUUAAUUGGGUUGCACGCUUGGAACGUAAGCUCGUACAGCGAGUUUAUCGAUAGAUGUGAAUGGUUUCAAUUUAGUAACGAAAUUGGAUUAUGUAAGUAAAUGAUUCUAUACUUUGGUUACACUGCAGGAGGGAUUUUAACUGACCUUCUCUUUUGAAAUAGGUGGCCGAGUAGCCAUCGACUCGUUGAUGAUUUGCAGCGGAGGUCUGGUUGUCAUUCUCAACAUAUUUAUAGCUUCAAAAGCUCCUCCUAUGACUAACGUCUUUGCUUAAAACAUUUGGAACAUGAAUGUUUACCUUGUACUACAUAUAAAAGAAACGAAAAAAAUAUUACUAAAACAUCGAGAAUGUGUACAGGCAUUUUUAAGCGAACUAAGAUCACUCUCUCACCUAUGACAUGAAUCAAAUAUUGACGUGUAGAACAUUGCAACAUACCGGAAAAACAGUGGCGCCACCGCAAUGGGGAUGAUUCAUUCGACAUGCCUCUUAAAUCCGAUUGCGUGCAAACGUACUGGCCUUUUACAGUUGAUUAGUAAUAGAAGACACUUUGACACUUAAGCAUUUCCUUUAUCAGUGGCACUGGUCGUUGAACGCUUGGUUGGCAUUCCAUAUGGCUUCAACUGGCAUUCGGAAUUAAGACGAUUUUGUUUCAUCAUGGCUAAGUGACGCUAAUCUAAAAAUAAAACAACAUGUUACGUUCAGUGGUUAUCGGAUAAUACUUAGGUCUAUCUCAAUAUAUAUCAAGUUUCGUUCUCACACCACACUAUACAAGUCGUGUUUUCGGUAGGCAUUAUUUAAAAAGUCACGAAACCGACCCUAAUUGGCGGGUUAAAACUUGAAUUCGUUUCUUCCUUAAUACGAUAAAUUUUUGUGUGAAAACAUGAACAAAAUUCUGUGUGUUACCAAUGUGCUUGCGGGUCUUCUAGCGUUCAGUUUGCAGAAUGGGUUCCAUUUAUCAUAAUAUGGAUUAUCCUCUGGGGAGGAAUUUACCUAGUCAUCUUCGGUGUGCUCCUGAUCAAGAAAAAGUUUAAAUCGAGUGAUGCCGUCACUGGAAUGGCAGUCGUCGCCGUGUUGAUUGGUAUCACGUUAAUAGGACUUUUUUCGUGGAGAAUUAGUAGCUAUCAGGAAGCGAUAGCUAAUUGCGGUUUGACCAAAAUUUGUGACAGAGCUGCCAUCGAUUCCUUAAUGAUCAUCAGCGGCAUUUUAGCUGUAAUCGUCAACGGGAUCGUUGCCACAAAAGCAUCAUCGUUUGUUUCACAACAAAUAUGCUCAUGAAUUAUAUUUUUCUGUAACAUCGCCAGAGAACGAAUUGCACUUGGAUCAACCGAAUGUUUGCUAAACUGCUGAACCUUUCCACAAUGCAAAUUAAACAAAAUGAAAAGAACAAGAGCCUCUUUAUGUCAAUGUUUUAAAACUGCAUCAUCGGUCAUAUCGAUAAUUUGUUGUACGUGGAAGUUAACGGAAAAACGUACAACAUCUGCAGAAUAAUUGGAAACAAAUUUCGAUUACAUUUUCUAACCGAUAAAUCACCUCUGUGUUUCGAAAUACUGUACAACCAAUAAACUACUACGGUCAUUGGCCCUAUCAUUCAAAAAACAAUACAUGAAGCCGUUCAAUAACA
rnacentral:misc_RNA from 1 species